GGCAUGGCGAGGGCUAGAAACGUAUUUUUAACCCUGACGGAGGUUGUAUUCCUAGUGUUCCAUUAACAACAGUUGCUGUUCUCCGGUAUGUGAAAUAAUUCACCUUGAUAUAAUCAGGCAUAUCCCAUAUGUCUCUUCUGACCUUUCCUACAAAUUCUUUACAGUCUGUUUCCUGGCAUAUAAAUUUUCUCUUGCCGUGCUUAAACAGGGAUAAGAAUCGACUUAACCGUACUUUGUAGUAAUAGUGUGUGCUGGCUACUGGUGUUUAUGUGCUGUUGAGAAGGGAAAGGGACUGUAGGUGGGCCUGACAUGGGAUCUGUUUCAUUGAAAAUAGUUGUAUACAUGUUGUGGAGUUCAAUGAGACCGCUACUUGCCUGAGCUGAAAUGAAAUAGUUACUGUUCGUAAAGGGACACUCCAGACCCCUAAAGCACUUUGCUAAAGUGCUUUAUACAUGAAGACCGUGUCUUCAUUUUUUCUAAUCUUACAAAAAGUGCAGAACUUGGCACUUUCAUAAAUGAACCUUGAUACAUCACCCUGGCUGUCAAUUCGACAACUAGUCUACUUUUUCUUUGUUUGAUUAGCUCAAUAGAGCUAAAUUUAAGAGGCAGACAAUUGCCCAAAGUACCUGCCUUGCACAGACUCCUCAUUUAGCUUCAUUUGGGUAGUCUGUGAUUGGACAGCCACAUAAAGUCUGGGUGGGGUCAGGGAGGGAGUGCUUGUUAAGUCUUUAGGCAAGAGUGCUUUCUUAGAUAAACCCUAAUGCAAAAAUGCAUAAUUAAAUGCUUGCAUGUUUUCAUUCGGAAUAUGUUUGCUAAACAGGGAUUUUUGGGGGAGUUUAGUACAUUAUACAUUAGUAUAUUGCAUAAGCCUGCCACCACAUCAAUGUACCCCAUUCUUGGUAGGCCCUACUCUAGCAACCUUAUGCCUGCUCCUAUGAGAUUAAUCAAUUUAUUUGUGAAACACUUCCCCCUGGGAUGCUCUGCAGGGCAAGGUUAAAUAGGCAUCUGUGACUCUUUUUACAUAGAUAUUUUACAUAGAUAUGUAAAUUAGAUUACAUUUGGAUCUUGUAAUACCUUUUUUAUUGGACAAAGAGAAUUUUGGAAUGACAAGCUUUCGGGAAAUCCUUCCUUUCUCAAGUCUAUAGCAUUUCUGAACAAGUCUACACAUAGAAUUCAAACUUGAGAUCUAUGUAAUCACAUUUAAGAACCUGCACGAUAUUAAGCAGGUGGUUUUAAUGCUGUGGCUGAUCAGUGUAUAUAGUGUUGGAGAUUGUAGCCAUAUUUAUUUAUUGAUACAGAUGUAAAAUAACAAAUUAAAUCAUUAUCUUGUAAACCUUUUGAUUGGACUAACAUAAUCUGGGGAAUUUGGAGGCCAAGGCAACACCUUGAAUUCUGUCAGGACAGUAAUGGAAACCACGACAGGGCAAAGAGUAGAUACUGAAAUGGGUUUAUAUAGCCCAUUCCUAACUGUCAUUGGUGGGCAGGGAUCAGCUGAUUCCAGGUGUACGUGCACGCCGAUUAAGUCAAGCUUGACAAAGACCCUUUCAGGGGUCAAAACGUUGCGAUGUCUCAUUUGUCCUAAUAAUUACAUUUAAAGAUACUUGGGGCGCCUGGAUCCUCUUUCUACCACUGAUAUCUACUCUCUGGGGCUGGUGCUGGCCCUUGGUCCAGUUUAGCACCCGGAUCUUGAUGUGAUUACAGUGCGGUUUGUUUUUUUCUCUUUUUCUUUUUCUUUUUGCAAAAAUUGUUUAUUUAGACAUAUUCUCAAUGGUAUUUCUGUUAUUUGUUUGGCUAUUUUGGCCUGAAAUUUGGAAUUCACAUUGAAUUCCAUGCAAUUCUCACAGAUCACAAGGCACUGGGGAGCAUCCUUAGUAGACAAAGAGUUUUCAUCUACACUGAAAGAGUUACCAUACAUCAUAAAGGAACAGACAUGCUUUAUGAAAUAUAAAUAACCUGCCUAUUUUAAAAAGGUUGUCAGCGGGUUUUUAGGCCACGAUAUGUUUAUUAUUGCCAUUUAUAUAGCGCCAACAGAUUCCUUGGUGCUUUACAAUAUUUUGAGAGGGGGUUUUACCUAUAAAUAGGACAACUACAAGAAAACUUACAGGAACUAUAGUUUGAAAAGGACCCUGCUCAAACGAGCUUACAGUCAAUAGGAGGUGGGGUAUAUAACACAUAAUGCCUAAAUGUUUGGGAAAUCUUGAUAACAACAAUUUUCUUAACCAGCAGUAGUUGAACAUUAAAUAAAUAAUAAAUUAAAUAAGUGUAUUGUUUUUCUUCUGAAUCAUCUGUGUUUUGUUUUAAACAGAUGUCGUCAAAAGCCAAAUAAAGUCUUCAUUAGUAAUCUAUGAGACAAUCAAACUUCAAAGUAAGGCUUGAUUAUAUUAGUAUUUGAUAUGUGGGUUACCAUAAUUUCAUAAUUUCUGUAUGUUUGUGUUAUUGAAUAUAUUUUAAAGGAACAAAAUAGCAUUGUAUGUAUUCAUAAUGCUAUAGUGUUUCCCUCUCUGUACAUGGAGGUGUCAACUCCCUGCCCUGCAAGAGAUUAAAAAAAAUGGUCUCCAUGCUGCCACUCCACCUCCAUGACCGAGAUCAUCAAGAUUGAUGCUCUCAAACAAUCCAAUGCUUCCCAAUAGGGACACAUGCUACAGCGCAUGAGCUGCAAAAUGCUGCAUCAAUCAAACGAGUCAUUUAAUCUGCAACAAAGUCUAACUCAGUUAUAGAUAUGGAAGCAACUCUAGUGGUUGUCAGUAAGGAAGACAGCCACUAGAGGCGUCUAAAUCCUGCAAUGAAAACAUUGUGCCAUUCUUGCAAAAUGGCAAUGCUUUCAGUUGCAGGAUUAAAAAGACAGGGGCACUGCACCCAGACCACUUAAUUUCGAUUUAGGUUGUCUGGGUGCCUAUAGAGUUAUUUGCAUAUAUAUUAUGUCUGUUCUUCCUAAAUGGGUGUACCUUUGUUGCGUUAAACCCAUCAUGGUAUGAGAAUGAUAAACACGUAUUAAUACACAAAAUAUUUCUGUUCCUUUGUAGGUCAGUUGGCUGCUUUCAGCUGAUUAUAGUUCUUUUUUUGUUUUUUUUCUUUUUCAUUUAUUCAGUAUAUAGUAUUACAGAGGCACUUAAAGCAAUGUAUAUCCUAUUAAAGGACCACUAUAGUGCCAGGAUUGUGUCAACUUUAAGAAGUAUCACUAUGGUAAAAUCUAAUUAUGCCUUAAAGGAUCACUGUAGUGUCAGGAAAACAAACCCACUCCCGUAGCGCUGAAGAAGGAGGAAGGGGUUAAUCCCUUACCUUUUUUCCAGCGCCAGGCUCCCUCGGCGCUGGGACUCUCCUCCCUCUUCUGAUGUCAUCAACUGAAUGCGCAUGUGCGGCAAGAGCUGUGCUCGCAUUCAGCUAGUCUCAUAGGAAAGCAUUCUCAAUGCUUUCCUAUGGACGCUGGCUUCUUCUCACUGUGAAAAUCACAGUGAGAAGCGCGGAAGUGCUUCUAGCGGCUGUCAAUGAGACAGCCACUAGAGGCUGGAUUAACCCAUAGGUAAACAUAGCAGUUUCUCUGAAACUGCUAUGUUUACAGCAGGCAGGGUUAACCCUAGAUGGACCUGGCACCCAGACCACUUCAUUAAGCUGGUCUGGGUGCCUAUAGUAGUCCUUUAAAUGUCUUGGAUUCCUCCCUUUUGUUUUUUGUUGUAUUUUUUUUUUUUUUUAAAUGCAGUCUAACCUAGUCCUAUCUUCAAAUUGUUGCAUUUUACAAUAUGAUUGAAUUGAUGAUGUCUACAACUCGAGAAUAAAUAUCAGAGUAUCUGACCUUCCAUUUUUUUUUAAUGUGUGAAAUAUUUUAUUAGAAUGAUUUGUUUUAUGUAUAAUUAACAGUGUGGUUAUUCUAAUUAUUCUUGAUUUGGUUUAUGUAGUCAGUCAGUUCUGAUUGCAUAUGUUUUGUUGCCAGGCUUUGGAGAUCCUUAUGCUUAAGGAUUUGAGACAAUGGCUUCAAACACAGCCAGAAGCAUAUACAC